CGACGUGAGCAAUCUGCCUUUAAGAGGGGGAUAACAGUCGAAACGGCUGCUAAUACCGCAUAAAGCAUCAAAUUCGCAUGUUUUUGAUGCCAAAGGAGCAAUCCGCUUUUAGAUGAGCUCGCGUCUGAUUAGCUGGUUGGCGGGGUAACGGCCCACCAAGGCGACGAUCAGUAGCCGGACUGAGAGGUUGAACGGCCACAUUGGGACUGAGACACGGCCCAG
rnacentral:rRNA from 1 species